GGUUACAAUCGCUUACCCUUCUAAUUCGAGUAAUUCUGAUUUCACACACAAACCAUUAUUGAUAAAGAACUUGACAAGUCCUCUUACAGUCUUUCUUUAUUUUUCCGUUUUGUUCAAUUCAGUGCUUGUAAAAUUUAUUGCCAUUAAAAACGAUUUUGGUGUACCAGAUUUCACCUGAGGAGAAGAGAGAACCAAAAUUAACCUCCCCCUACCCCAUCCCACCCCCUUACCUUAUCUCUGCAACCUUAACAGCAUCACAUUCACGAAACCCAAUCUUUUAAUUUCUUCAAACCCUUGCAAUGGAUGAGGAUUUACGGUUAGUGGAACAUAGGAAGUUUGGGUUGUGGAUUUCUUAAAAUCAAUUGUGAUUAAAGCCUUAUUCGAAGCAGAAAUGAAGAACUGAGGAUCUGGGGGUGGCACUCAAAUCGUAACUUACCUAGUGCAGACCUGACUCCUGUGUCCAUUUGGCUCAUUUUUUUAAUUAGGUGACUCCACGGAGUUUGGGGUGCUUCAUAAGCAUUAGAAAGAAAAAAUAUGUGAGUUACCCAAAUGACUUCACGUACCAUCUUCUAGCAUUUUUGGGGUAAGUGGAUGUUGAUACCAUCGUUACAAGCACUUCGGGAAGUACUUGUAUUUUGUUCAAUUAUAAACAAGAAUUGUGUGGCUGACCUGUUUAACAAUUUAAGAGGUGUAUGAGCAAGCAUUUUCAGCAAGCCAUCCUUGAGCGAGAAUAUUCUCCCUCCGGUGGCGCUGAAAUUCACACUUUAAAUUAUUCUUGUUACCUUUAGUGAGUUUGCAUAUUUGCCUAAAGCUUCUCAUAUCCCUUAAAAUUAUUUGUUUUAAAAGCCCGCUAGCAAUUUCAAACCAAGAGGGUGCAAAUAUUGUUUUUAAGGAACGAGUACCCUUUACGGGUUUCAAGCCCUCCAUUUCCUGUUUUUCCUCCUCUUUUUUGUUUGCGUUUCAGCCUCCUUUUUUAAUUUUCAACAGUGCGCAACUAAAUUGGGAUGGUUAACGUAAUUUGUAAUUGCAUGCUAAUUAUUGUGUCAUUUAUGUUAGUUCAAAGAUGGGGAAAUUAAAUUUUAAGAUUCUGUUCUUUUGUUACUUCUCUACAAUAAAUGAAAUAGUUCCCUU